CAAAUUCAUCCCCAAAUUCAUCCAGAAACCCUAGUUUUCCCAAUUCCUAACCCUAUCAGAUGCAGCCUCACCCUCCUCCUUCAACGGAACAAACACACAUAAACUCACCCUCUACCCCUCAGCUUUGCUGCGACACACACACACACUCAGAACAUCACACCCACUCGGCCCAUACUCCUUCCGUCACACACCCACGCACUAUGAACGGAGUUACAUCGCGUCCAGCCUGCCUCGCUACGCAGCCGCCGUCCUGUCGCCAACGCCGUCGCGGGGGAAGAGGAAGCAAGUGCGCUAGAGGAGAGCGAGAGGGGGAGACCGUGACGGGAUACUCUGCCACCGUCGUGUAUCGCGAACAGAGGAGGAAGGAGAAGUCUUCUGCCAUCAACGCCACGUCUCUUCACCACCAGUGCCGCCGGAAUCUCUGGUUGUCGCCAUGAUUAAUGCUUGUCUCAAUGGAGCCACUGGCGGGGUGUUGCUACUGCCGGAACCACCGCGGGGUGUUGCUAGGAAUCGCUGCUGCCCUACUUCCGCUAUACUUAGGUUCAACAUCCAUUGGCCUGGUGACACAGGUUUGAAGACGCAAUUUGAAGCUGCGAGCGAUUAGUAGGUUUUCUUUAUGAUUUUAAUUGGUCUUGUAGAGUCCCCUCGCUGUUGUCCCUUGAGAUUUUAUUUCAUAGAGAGGGGUAGGUUUGGUAUAUUGUAUUUGAGUUUCAUUUGGUUUCUUUUGUAUAAGAAUUAUUAUCAAUAAUAACUAUGUGAUUAUUAUUAUGUGUAAA